rnacentral:rRNA from 1 species
UAUGUGAUCGUCUCUCGCAUAUCAAUAAGCGGAGGAAAAGGAACUAACAAGGAUUCCCCUAGUAACGGCGAGUGAAGCGGGAAGAGCUCAAAUUUGAAAUCUUAAAGGGUUUCCCUUUACGAAUUGUAGUUUAAAGAAGUGUUUUCUGUUGAGGUUUUGGUAAAAGUUCUUUGGAAUAGGACAUCAUAGAGGGUGAGAAUCCCGUAUUUGACCUUUACUUUCAACUUUGUGAUACACUUUCAAAGAGUCGGAUUGUUUGGGAAUGCAGUCCAAAAUGGGUGGUAAAUUUCAUCUAAAGCUAAAUAUUGGCGAGAGACCGAUAGCGAACAAGUACCGUGAGGGAAAGAUGAAAAGAACUUUGAAAAGAGCGUUAAACAGUACGUGAAAUUGUCAAAAGGGAAGCGUUUGACACCAGUGUUGUUUUUCUGAAAAUCAAUUAAAGAACUGUUUAUGCUAAGUUGUUUAGACUUUAUCAGCUAACUGUUUAGUUUUGAGCUUUUCUUUAAUGCACUUUUCAGUUAACAAGUCAACAUCAAUUUCUUUUGCUGUAAAAAAGCUUGAGGAAGGUGGCUUGAGAUUCGUCUUAAGUGUUUAUAGCCUCUUGCCUAUGCAGUCGGAGAGAUUGAGGUCUGCAGCGUAGAUCCUUCGGGGCUAAAUGCAUUUGUGCUAAGUUAUAGCAUUUUAUAGACAACUUGUUGACUAUGAUUUGUCUUGUAACUUACUCGCUUAUGUUAUUUUACCUACGCUUAGGAUGUUGAUAUGCAUGACUGAUAU